GACAACUACGAACACAACGCUGUCCGCCAGAGGACUACAAGCGAAAAACUCGAAACUCCAAGGACUUGGCGGUGCUCCACACCAGCCUAGAGGAGCCUGUCCUAUAAUCGAUACCCCACGUUAAACCUUACCGCCUUUUGCCCCCCCCAGCCUAUAUACCGCCGUCGUCAGCCUACCCUGUGAAAGAACCAACAGUAGGCACAACAGUUAUUAACUAGCACGUCAGGUCAAGGUGUAGCACAUAAGGCGGAAGAGAUGGGCUACAUUUUCUGCCACAGAACAAACGAACGGGACAAUGAAACACGUACCCGAAAGCGG
rnacentral:rRNA from 1 species